rnacentral:sRNA from 1 species
UAGUUUGAAAUGUGGACCACUUGAUGC